GUGUUUGCUAUAAGGCACCACACAAGUGCCAUUUGUCAGACCACUUUAACCGACCAAGAGAGCUCGCAAAAAUAUUCACCUCUCAAACCCUCGCCCUCCUCACGUGUUCAUUUCCUUCCCUUGGGAGAUUUCGUAAACGGUGAAAUUGGGUUCUUUGAAACUCCUAAUAUUGUUUGUUUGUGUUAAUGGCGGAACACUUAGCGUCGAUAUUUGGAACUGAGAAGGACAGGGUGAACUGUCCAUUUUAUUUCAAGAUUGGAGCAUGUCGUCAUGGUGAUCGAUGUUCUAGACUUCACAAUCGUCCUACUAUCUCACCUACUCUUUUACUAUCCAAUAUGUAUCAGAGGCCUGAUAUGAUCACUCCUGGUGUUGAUCCACAAGGACAGUCAAUUGACCCUCGAAAGAUUCAAGAACAUUUUGAGGAUUUUUAUGAGGAUAUAUUUGAGGAACUGAACAAAUUUGGGGAGCUUGAAAGUCUUAAUAUUUGUGAUAACCUUGCUGAUCACAUGGUCGGGAAUGUAUAUGUGCAAUUCAAGGAGGAAGAUCAAGCUGCUGCUGCUUUGAAAGCGUUGCAGGGGCGCUUUUACUCUGGGCGGCCGAUCAUUGCUGACUUUUCCCCUGUCACAGAUUUUCGUGAGGCGACUUGUAGGCAGUUUGAAGAGAACAGCUGUAAUCGGGGUGGGUAUUGUAAUUUUAUGCAUGUGAAGCAAAUCGGGAGAGAAUUGAGGAGGAAACUAUAUGGAAGGUAUCGUCGAUCAUAUGUUAGUCGAAGUCGGAGUAGAAGCAGGAGUUUGAGUCCUCCACGCCACAGGCGGAGUGGGGAUAGGCAUAGUGUUGAAUACCGUGAUCGUGGAGACUAUCGUGGUAGUGGGAGACGCAAUGGAGAUAGGCCUGGAAGGUAUGAUAGUGAUGGAGGUGGCAGACGAAGGCAUGGGAGUCCAAGGCGAAAUAGGAGUCCUGUUCGAGGUAGUCCUGUUAGAGAAGGAAGUGAGGAAAGGAGAGCGAGGAUUGAACAAUGGAAUAGGGAAAGAGAUGAAAAAUGAUGAUUUCGUGGAGUUAGGUGGUUGCUGUUUCCCCUUUAAAAGUAAUCUACAAGCUAAGAAGAUUGCAUGAUUUGCUGAGUUGAUAUGAACUUUGUCAAGUGGACGGCCAUCCAGUCAAAAGCACGGAUGAACUGUGCAAUUUUGAGAAGAGGCUCAAGCUUCACAGUUCAGAAUCUCCUCAAGUCCACUUCAGAGCCUUGUUACGUACUCUGUUAUAAGUUUCAGUUCCAAUCUGUCACUGGGUUCUGAAUUCCUGAUCAGAGUUAAGAAAUUGAGUGAAAGGGACAAAAACAACUUCUUUUUAGGAAUUAAACGUCAAUGGAGCAUGAAGCAAAUCAGAAAUCUUCUUCACCACCACCCAUUUCUAUUAUUUCAAGACUGGAUCGCCUUGAUCGAGUGGUACACUAUAUGGAAGAGAAGCAUAGUAUGUCACAAAGGGAGUUCUCGACAGCAAAGGAUUUUGACUAUAACCGAGUAAAGCCUCUCGCUACUGCACUUGAUGAGAUUCGUGUCAAAGGCACCUUAGUGGAACGAAUAUCCAUGCUGGAGAGUUCUGUUUUACAGCUAGUAAGCAUUGAAAUGGAGGAAGGUGCUUAUUCAAGUUCAAGUUCUUCUACAUUUGCGGUACCCGAAAACGCUGAUCUUGAAAGUUUUCCUACUAAACAAGGCAGAGCCAAAUUUAUUAGUUUUGUUAAUCAAAAAGACGAUUACGCUACGCCUUCGGAGAGCAGCCUUGAAGAAGAACACAACAUGAUAAGUAAUAAGCCCCGGAGCAAAAGAAAAGGGAGAUCACCAUCACUGAUGAUGAGUAGUCUUCGUUAUCGCGGGAAAUGGUUGGGAUGCUUUCACACGCCAACUCACUGAAUCCGCAGUGGUGAGCAUAAUGAAUCUUCUUGUUGGUAUGAUCAAUCAAUUCUCCACGAGAAUAGAAAACAAAUUAGAAGUUUCAAGCUUCUGAUAUCAAAAGAAAAAAUUGUAUACGUCCAGUAUUUGAUAUUUGAAAUAGCUUUUGAUGGGGUCAAAAAAACCAACCAGGAUUAGUUCAAUUAGGCAGUGAUGGAAGAAUUUUCCGGGAGCCGCAAAUGUAUGGAGUGGCAAUUGGUAUAUCCUUCCAAGGUCGAUGAGCAUUUUCCACUCUACAUAGCUUUCAAUAAAAAUACUAAAAUUUUCAUUCCAAAUUUGCGUUUAAUGAAAUAAUAAAUUAACUGGUAACUUUGUGGAUGAAUUAACUAGCCAGAGAAACUUCGUUACACUUAACAUUAUUAUGGU